rnacentral:tRNA from 1 species
AAUAGGCUAGGUUAUUGUUUGACUAUCUGUUUUCAAAACAGAGGGGGGCUUUUAGGUCGCCUAUUG